UGUCCUCUUCCGAUCGGGAAUGUCAAACGUAUGAGGUGAUCACCGUCUAUUACCACAAGAUUGUCGAUCUUAUCAUGAUGUCUCUCCUAAAGGGUGUGUGUCUCUUCAUGGUUGUUCAUUUUUAAUCUUGGGUUUAUGUUCAGAUUAAGGAGCCUCGGGCCUGCCCUGUAGCAAGUCUCCGAGAUCGUUCUGUUGUUUUGAGUAUUUUGAGAAUGGUGUGAUGUCAAAAAAUAAAUACGAAGGAAAUCCU